GUGUCCUAAAACGGAUGUUGGCCUGCCAGGCUCUUAAAAAUGCUCAAACAUAUUUUAGGGAGCAGCCAAGGUGAAGUUUUCAACCAGGCCGACCAACUUCAGAGUCCACUGGCUUCAAAACAGUGCUUUACAUCCUCCUUCCAACAUUAUUCACAAGCCGAUCAAGACUGAGAGAGUCACAAGUGUGUGAAACCUGUAUUCUUUCUGACUUCAUUUUCCCUGGGAACCUCAAAGAAUUCAAAUAUGCUACUUAGUAUACACACUAAUGUUUGCUCACCCUUUGAGCAUAAGCUCAAAUUUUAUUGUGGCUUAUCUUCUCCAAAAAAUGGGUCGAAAUUUUUGUAGAAUAGACAAAUCAAGAAUGAUGACUUCUUAAGAUGCAGUAUUCAAGUUCAGAAAUCUAUACUCCUGCUUCUGAGGUUUAUCUCACCAGUGGUUUUCUUCUGAUUGCCAAGUGUUCUUUUUACCCCCAACAGGCAUCCUGACUCAAGCUGUAUACAUUUGCAAUAUCUGAUUUUUAACCACACACUCUUCAUCCUAUUGACCCAGAGUGAAAAUUGAUACUCUUAGCUGAAGGACUGUUCCCUUGAGUAUAUUUAAACCAGACCAAUCUCUGUGUUUAAUCUGGGUUCAUCAGGAACAUAGAAACCUGUAUUAAGAAAACAGAUUUCAGGAGCCUUUGAACAAGAAGAGAGAGGAAGAAUGACAUAACUGAACAAGAGAGAUGGCGAGCAGAGUUUCCUGAAUGCUGUGAGCAGAACAAUUGGACAGAUGAGGGAAGUCUG
rnacentral:lncRNA from 1 species